CCUGCCCCAAGGGGCAGUGCACGUGUGUCUGCUGAGUCACAUGAACUGUGCAUCAGUAGGUGGCAGAGAGAACAGAGGUUGUUUAUGUUCGGUGUUCUGACCUGUGAACACAUGAGUGGUUAGUUGCCUAAUAUU
ensembl:snoRNA LOC120097995 small nucleolar RNA SNORA17